rnacentral:rRNA from 1 species
GUUUGAUCCCGGCUCAGAAUCAACGCUGGCGGCGCGCUUAACACAUGCAAGUCGCACGAGAAAGAGGGCAACCUUGAGUAAAGUGGCGUACGGGUGAGUAACACGUGGAUCAUCUACCUUUUAGUGGGGAAUACCCCCGGGAAACUGGGGACAAUACCGCAUAAGCUCGAGAGAGGAAAGCCGAAAGGCGCUAAAAGAGGAGUCCGCGGCUGAUUAGCUAGAUGGCGGGGUAACGGCCCACCAUGGCAAAGAUCGGUAGCCGGCCUGAGAGGGCACACGGCCACACUGGCACUGAAACACGGGCCAGACUCCUACGGGAGGCAGCAGUGGGGAAUCUUGCACAAUGGGGGAAACCCUGAUGCAGCGACGCCGCGUGAGCGAUGAAGCCCUUCGGGGUGUAAAGCUCUUUCGACGGGAACGAUAAUGACGGUACCCGGAGAAGAAGCUGCGGCUAACUACGUGCCAGCAGCCGCGGUAAUACGUAGGCAGCAAGCGUUGUUCGGAAUUACUGGGCGUAAAGAGUGUGUAGGCGGUGCUCUAAGUCUGUUGUGAAAUCUCCCGGCUUAACUGGGAGGGUGCGGCGGAAACUGGAGUGCUCGAGGGUGGGAGAGGUAAGCGGAAUUCCUGGUGUAGCGGUGAAAUGCGUAGAUAUCAGGAGGAACACCUGUGGUGUAGACAGCUUACUGGACCACUUCUGACGCUGAGACACGAAAGCGUGGGUAGCAAACAGGAUUAGAUACCCUGGUAGUCCACGCCCUAAACGAUGCAUACUUGGUGUGAGCGAUUCAUUUCGUUCGUGCCGGAGCUAACGCGUUAAGUAUGCCGCCUGGGGAGUACGGUCGCGAGGCUGAAACUCAAAGGAAUUGACGGGGGCCCGCACAAGCGGUGGAGCAUGUGGUUCAAUUCGACGCAACGCGAAGAACCUUACCUGGGCUCGAACGGCUUAAGAACAUCUUUGGAAACAUUGACUUCCCGCAAGGGACUUGAGUCGAGGUGCUGCAUGGCUGUCGUCAGCUCGUGUCGUGAGAUGUUGGGUUAAGUCCCGCAACGAGCGCAACCCUUGUCCUGUGUUGCCACUCCCGCAAGGGAAGCACUCUCAGGAGACCGCCAGCGAUAAGUUGGAGGAAGGUGGGGAUGAUGUCAAGUCAUCAUGGCCUUUAUGUCCAGGGCUACACACGUGCUACAAUGGGCGGUACAAAGCGCUGCAAACCCGCGAGGGGGAGCUAAUCGCAAAAAAACCGUCCUCAGUUCGGAUCGCAGGCUGCAACUCGCCUGCGUGAAGCUGGAAUCGCUAGUAAUGGCGCAUCAGAACGGCGCCGUGAAUACGUUCCCGGGCCUUAUACACACCGCCCGUCACAUCACGAAAGUGGAUUGUACUAGAAGUCCCAGUCUAACGGGCCCAAGGUAUGAUUCAUGAUUGGGGUGAAGUCGUAACAAGGUA